UACGUAGGGUCCGAGCGUUGUCCGGAAUUAUUGGGCGUAAAGGGCUCGUAGGCGGUUUGUCGCGUCGGGAGUGAAAACACCGGGCUUAACUCGGUGCUUGCUUUCGAUACGGGCAGACUAGAGGCAUUCAGGGGAGAACGGAAUUCCUGGUGUAGCGGUGAAAUGCGCAGAUAUCAGGAGGAACACCGGUGGCGAAGGCGGUUCUCUGGGAAUGUCCUGACGCUGAGGAGCGAAAGUGUGGGGAGCGAACAGGAUUAGAUACCCCCGUAGUCC
rnacentral:rRNA from 1 species